rnacentral:tRNA from 1 species
AUAUAAAUAGUAUAAUCUUAUUACAUAAGUUUUUCAUACUUAAAAUACAGUCUUGAUUGUUUUAUAUA